CCAGACGGAGGUGGGGGGACUGAGGGGCUGCUCCCCAGGAAGUCGUCCCCAACUGAGCCCUGUUGGGGAGCCUGUGGCCGAGGUAAAUUUGUCCUGAGCCCCAGGCAGCCUGGUCUCCAGCCACGUGGUCAAGCCAGGGCCUGGGGUUCUGGAAACUCCAAUGGGACCCUUUGGGCUGUGGCAGGAGGGUUGUCUCAGGGAAACAGGGCGAUGGGGCUGGAGGCAAAAUCCAUUUUUGUAGGGCUUUAAGUGGCAAAUUGAGGAGUUGAAACUGAGGGGUUUGGAAACCAAUGGGGAUUUUUAAAUGAAGACAUUUUAGGAGGGUACAUCAGGCAGGGGGCCUCAGAAGGGACUGGAAGGGGAAUGCCAGAGGCAGGGAGACCUUAAGGGCUGCUGCGAUGUAGGCGAGAGUUGCCAAGGGCUGAGGGCAGCCAUGGUGGAGGAGCAGCAGCUGGAGGGUGUGGCGGCCUGGCAGGAGACACAGUGAUAUGUGCAAGGUGUGAGUGCAGGCCCAGCAGAGGCCUGGCAGGAGACACAGACGGGGUGGCUCCGGGUGGGGUGCA
rnacentral:lncRNA from 1 species